GAUAAACGCUGGCGGCGUGCCUAAUACAUGCAAGUCGAGCGAACGGACGAGAAGCUUGCUUUUCUGAUGUUAGCGGCGGACGGGUGAGUAACACGUGGAUAACCUACCUAUAAGACUGGGAUAACUUCGGGAAACCGGAGCUAAUACCGGAUAAUAUUUUGAACCGCAUGGUUCAAAAGUGAAAGACGGUCUUGCUGUCACUUAUAGAUGGAUCCGCGCUGCAUUAGCUAGUUGGUAAGGUGACGGCUUACCAAGGCAACGAUGCAUAGCCGACCUGAGAGGGUGAUCGGCCACACUGGAACUGAGACACGGUCCAGACUCCUACGGGAGGCAGCAGUAGGGAAUCUUCCGCAAUGGGCGAAAGCCUGACGGAGCAACGCCGCGUGAGUGAUGAAGGUCUUCGGAUCGUAAAACUCUGUUAUUAGGGAAGAACAUAUGUGUAAGUAACUGUGCACAUCUUGACGGUACCUAAUCAGAAAGCCACGGCUAACUACGUG
rnacentral:rRNA from 1 species